rnacentral:rRNA from 1 species
UACAGAGGUCUCAAGCGUUGUUCGGAUUCAUUGGGCGUAAAGGGUGCGUAGGUGGCACUGUAAGUCGGGUGUGAAAUCCUGGGGCUUAACCCCGGAACUGCAUUCGAUACUGCAGUGCUUGAGGACUGGAGAGGAGACUGGAAUUCAUGGUGUAGCAGUGAAAUGCGUAGAGAUCAUGAGGAAGACCAGUGGCGAAGGCGGGUCUCUGGACAGUUCCUGACACUGAGGCACGAAGGCCAGGGGAGCAAACGGGG